rnacentral:lncRNA from 1 species
AGUGAGCUGCCUCUCUGCGAUUGGUUUUGCCCGAGUUUUAUUUUUGUCUGUCUCAGCUAGAAAGUGGGAGACUUUCAUUUAAAAUGGAAAUUGGGGCGAGGGGUUGGCGGCUGGGCGAAGGGAGCAUUCAAAAGCGGAGAAUGUCACUUUACCCGAGAAAUUCACUACGAUGGGCCAUUGGUUUCUGCUCGGCUCGCAGGCGCACUGCACGAGUGGAGGUGUGGCUAGUGGCUGUGAUGAGAUAAAUCCAUGCAUAGCCUUUUCAUUGCGAGCUUGAAAGUUCUUUUCUAUUACAGUUUUAGCUUUAGGUUUAAUUGGUUCGACUGCCUUCUCCACAAUUUGGGCGAGAAUUUCCUUUGCCUUCUCAGCAAAAGUUGUUCUGCGGACCCGUCUGGGUCAACUUUCAUGAGGGACAUUGAGACAAACAAAUGAAAUAUGGGUUAAAGGUAAGAUGGUUAAACCGUGUGAAAUGAGAGACAGUUGAGGGGUUCUAGGGAAGAUGAUCCCGGAAAAGGACUGCAGGCCCAUGGAAACGCAGUGUGCUUCUCCAAUAUUUGGAGGGCUGAUCAGUGAAAGAAGGAUCAGACCCUUUUUCUUAGCAGCAGAGAACAGAACUAGGACUAAUAAGUGAAAGGUAAAGGGAGGCUGCUUUCAAGUCACAGCAAGAAAGAAUUUUGUCCACAAAUGAGGAUGCACAAAUAUAGCAUAGGCUCCCCCAGGAAUCACUGAGUUUCCUCUGUGUAGGUGAACAGUUUGAGUAGAAUCGGAGUAUCGGAGAGGAAAUUAAAGGGUCUGGUAAGAGUUUGAGGCCGGGCGCGGUGGCUCAUGCCUGUAAUCCCAGCCCUUUGGGAGGCCGAGGCAGGCGGAAAGUUUGAGCUCAGGAGUUCGAAACCAGCCUAGUCAACAUGAUGAAACCCCGUCCCUACAAAAUAAAAAUAAAAAAAAAUAAGCUGGGGUGAUGAUGCAUGCCUCUAGUCCCAGCUACUCGGGAGGAUGAGGUGGGAGGAUCACCUGAGCCCAGGGAGGUCGAGGCUGCAGUGAGCUGUGAUCACCCUACUGCACUCCAGCCUGGGCGACAGAAUGAGACCCUGUCAAAAAAAAUUUUGUACAUGGAUUCCUUAAAAUGCUACAAAUAGUUGAUUCUAUGUUGUCUUCUGCAUAAAACAAUAUGCAGUAGUUAAGGACUUGCAAGAAAAGUUCCUUCUGCUGCUCUCUCUGUCAUUAGUUCUUGAGUCCUCACUCAAGCUUGUGCUCUAACUCUACAGGCAGGGCUAACAUAAAUUAUGCGUAGUCCAGGAGACCACACACAAAAUAACAUACAUAAUCAUUACUUUCUUGUCUAGAGGCUUAGUCUGGCUACUUUUCUCCCAUUGGCUUGAGGUGUAAAUUCACCAAAACCAGCCCAGAAAUGAUUUUACAUGGAAAAAAGUUUAUGUUCUCCCGAAAAUGAGGAAGAGCUUUCAGAUUUUCCUCGAAGUUCUCAAACAGCUCUAAGGAGCAGUAGGAAACGUGCCCUACCUAUGCUUUUUCUUUCCCAUGCUGCAAUUCUGACAGAAAAUGUGUUGGAGAGAAGAGAUAAAAAAAAUCAACUAGAUCACAUCCAAUAGCAUAAACAAGAAGGAAGGAGGGAAGGUUGCCGUGGCAGGCAUCUGUAGUCCCAGCUACUCCAGAGGCUGAGGCAGGAAGAUCGCUGAGCUCAAAAGUUCAAUUCCAUCCUGGGCAACAUAGCAAGACCAUGUCUCAAAAAAAAAAAAAAAAAAGGCAUGACAAAUAUGAAAACAUAAAGCAUGCAAAGACUUUUCUAGAUUUCAAUCUAUAAGAAAACAUGUCCUAAGAAAAACAUGUUCUUACAAUUACUUUGUGCUACAGAGCAACUUAAUAUGGUGAUGAAUUAUGUUGUUUUUAAAGUUGCAAACUGUCAUUUAAGGAAUAUUAUUUCCAUGAACGCUUCCUGUGCAAUCUAUUAAAGAACAAACUUCACAUAGCCAAACAGUUGAAGAGACCUCAUCAUAAAUAGACUAUCCUAUAUCACAGCUAACGAGAAUAAAAAAGGAAUGUGGCAUGAAAGCAUAAAAAUAAAAACAUCUCAGAUAAUAAUAUAGAGAAAACCAAAAUACAUGGGCUAGAAUUCCACCCCAGGGACUGUAUCCUCAAAGACACAGGUUUUUCUUCCUUUUUCUUUUUUUUUUCUUUUCAUGUUUCAGUACUCUGAGCAGCUACAAAAAGAAGACCAGUCUAUCCUGCUGGAGACAGUGGCCACGUGAAGAAAGAGCUCUUGCAGUAUGAAAGACCACAUGGAAAGAGAGGCCACAUGGAACCAACAGUCAGCAUCUUGGUUUCGGACACGUGAAGAAAUUCAUCUCAGACUGUGUAUCCUAAAUCAGGCACUUGCUGAAUCUAACUACAUGAGUGAGACCAGUUGACAACACAUGGAGCAGACAUGAGCUGUUCUCAGUGAGUCCUACACAAAUUCCUGACUCACAACACUGUGAGCAAUAAAAUGGUUGUUAUUUUAAGCCACUGAAGUUUGCAGUGAUUUCUUACAUAGGAAUAGAUAAAUGAAACACAAACAUUGAUCAUUUGCAUCUUCUAUCUUUUUUAUGACUAGUCUUAUUGGAAAUUACCAGUUUAUUUCUGCCAUGGUUAGAAAACAAACUCUGAAAUUUUGAUACUUUAAAAUUUUUUUGAGACUUACUGUGCCCAGAAUAUAGUCUAUCUUGGUGAAUGUUCUGUGAGCACUAGACAAGAAUAUGUAUUCUGUAGUUAUUGAGCAUUGUGUCCAUCAAUGUCAACGUGAUUAAGGUGGUUAAUAGUUGUCUUCAGAUCUUCUAUAUUGUAUUGAUUGUUUUAUGUGUAGUGUUGCUAUUAAUUAUUGAUACAGGAGUGUAAAACUUAAACUAUGGCUGUGAAUUUGCCACUUACUUUAGUUUUGUCAGCUUUUCUUUUGCAUUUUUGAAGCUCUGUUAUUGGGCAUAUAAACAUUUAUGGUUCGUGUGUCUUCCUGAUGAAUUGACCAUUUUAUCAUUAUGAAAUGUCUUUAUUGCUGAUAAUACUCCUUAUCUUGAAGUCUAAUUCAUCCGAUAUUAGUAUAGCCACUGCAGCCUUCCUAGCUUACUGUUUACUGGUAUAUUUUUAUCCAUGUUUUUACUUUCAACCUGUGUUUUUUAAUUUAAUGUGCUUCUCUUAUAGACAACAGAUAGUUGAGUUUGUCUAUCAUUUUGCUAUUUGUUUUCGAUUUGUCCCAUUCAGUUUUGUGUUCCUUUGUUCUUUACUUCCUGCUUUCUUUUGGGUUAAUUAAUGUUUUUAUAUUUCAUCUUAAUUCCUCUGUUGGCUUUAACUGUAUCUUUUUGCAUUAUUGCUUUACAGUGUUUCUGAGAAUUAUGAUAUACAUUCUUAACUUAUCACAGCCUUAGAGUUAAAAUUAUGAUACUUCAUGUAAAAUAAAAGAGCCUUGCAAUAGUAAAGUUCUACUUACCACCUCCCCAAGUCCUUUGUGCUUUGUUGUCAUAUAUAUCAUAUCUAUGCACAUUGUUAUUUUUGCCUUAGUCAUAUGUAUCGCAAAGAAAUUAAGAGAAGAAAAGUAUAUAUUACCUUUUGUGUAUUUACCUACAUUUUGCUAUUUCCAGUUCUUUUCAUUCCUUCCUGUUUGUGGUGAAUUAUCUUUAAGAAUAGCUGUCAAAAAGUAUUCACAUUCUUGUAUGUGCAUGUUGCUUCUCCCUUUAAGAAAUAGAAUCAGCUGGGCAUGGUGGCUCACGUCUGUAAUCCCAGCAAUUUGGGAGGUCAAGGCAGGUGGAUCACAAGGUCAGGAGUUCAAGACCAACCUGAACAACAUGGUGAAACCCUGUCUCUACUGAAAAUACAAAAAAAAAAAAAAAAAAAAAAUUUAGCUGGGCGUGGUGGCACAUACCUGUAAUCCCAGCUACUCAGGAGGCUGAGGCAGGAGAAUCACUUGAACUUGAGAAGCGGAGGUUGCAGGGAGCCAAGAUUGCACCAUUGCACUCCAGCCUGGGUGACAGAGCGAGACUCUGUCUCAAAAAAAAAAAAAAGAAAUAAGAAAUAAAGUCUGUGUUCCCACCCCUUGAAUCUGGGCUGGUCUUUUAACUUUGAUGAACAAAACAUGGUGAAAAUGAUGUCAUACCAAUUCUAGGCCUAGCCCCUAAGAAGCCAUACACCUUUACUUUUAUCCUCUAGAAAGCUGGCCAACAAAUAAGUAAGUUUAGGGUAGAUUACUAAAGAAUGAAAAACAUUUCAGCCAACCAUCCCAACCAUUUCAGCCACACAGCUGAACUACCAGACAUGUGAAUGAAGCUAGUUUGGAAGUUCCAGCCCUGGCUAAGCAUCCAGCUGAAUGCAGCCACCUGAGUGACCCCAGCCAAUAAUAUCCAGAGCAGGAGA